GUAAGCAGAUAAACAUCACAUUUUCAUUUUUGGGGAACUAUCCCUUUAAAAUAUUUUCUCUUCAUUUGUAUUCUCAAAUGAAAGAAAACAAAACAUUACUUCUAAUACUACUACUACAAAAAUGUAAACAAUUUGAACUACUACACUGAUGUGAAGCUGUAUGAUUUUUAACCUUCCAUUUCUGUUCUCCUGCAGUGCAUGAGAUCUGCAUCAUCUCCAGGUAGAGCACACCCAAAGCCUCACUGCACCAAAGGGAAAACAUCUAGGAGGAUCUUGCCACGUCUGUCAAUUAGGUAUCUCUGCAGAACAAAAAGGCUGUUUCCCAAUCAGUAGGCAUUUGUCAACCACUUUGCCUGAAUUCCUUAAAUCAUAAAGGCCCACCCCAGUGGAUUAAAGCAAGUUGGGUAAAGUGGUUGAAAACCACCCGUUGUGGAUUUUACCAAUGCACAAAUGAUUGGGGAACACCCGUUAGCAUUCUGCAGAGAUACCUACUUGCACAUCUCAGACACGGGUCCAGGAUGAGAACCUGGUUGGCUUGGACUUGUCACCCUCACAUCCUGAAUCUUUCUGGAUCACCUCACAUUGUCACAGGUAAUAUCAAAGUAGCCGGUACUAACACUAACAUGCACUCCGCAGUUGGACAUAAUUAAGAGGUAACAUUUAAAUGUAUUUGUAUAUAAAAACAUCAGAUUAAUGUCUUGAAUGCAAAUUUAUUUUAAAACAGAGAAACAAAAACACAUAUAUUAAACAAGCAGACAUAACAAUAAAUUAAAACAUCAAACUGACAGUUGAAAUGAGUUAUAUAAAUUGAACACACUAUUUUACUACUAUUAGACUACUAUUUACUACUGUUACUAGACUAUUUUGAAAUGAGUUUUUUAAAUUGAACACUAUUUUACUAUUAAACUACUAUUUACUACUGUUACUGGACUAUUUUGAAAAUGAAUAAUAUAUAAAUUGAACACACUAUUUUACUAUUGCACUACUAUUUACUUCCUUUUAGCUCUUCUCUGAAAAUAAAAUUAGCUCUCUGAUUCUGCAAACUCCACAUCCAGCACACGGUUGUGUGUAUGCUGGAUUUUUACUUUGGUUGGGAGUUUGGCGAUUAAAUCCACCACCCUCCCAUUGUACAGUUUUUCUGGAAUGCUGAAUUCCUCAAAAUUGCUGCAGAGGAGAGUGAGGGUUCCAUUUUCUUCGGAGACUCCAAUGAUGUCCAUGUACUCCGUCACUACUUUCCUCUUAGCAGUCUGCAUCAUAAAGAAAAUACAAUUUAUAAUCUGGCUUGACAUCUUGUUACAGAGAUUUCACUCAAAUAAAAAUUGUGAUUUACCCACUUUCAUCAAUAUUGCUAUAGCAGAAUUAAGGAAACUUUCGUUGGGAAUGUGUCAACUUGGAAUGUGUAUGCCUUGAAUGUGAUGAAAGUUUAACUUUUGAAAAAACGCAUAUCAACAUCUUGCAUUUUCUCACAUUUUUAGAUGCACAGACAUGUUGUUUGAACCGGCCCUAAGUUGUUUCUACUGGCUGGCAAGUCUAUGCAGUCAUCGCACCAGCAGUGCGAACUGUUAAUACCCUUUUUGAAUCGAUUGUGGUGCUGUUAAGUUAAUUUUAAGCUGAAUAAGGCUAAUGUAACAUAGCUAAUGUGUUUUGUAUUAUAUUUGUGUACCUUCACAGCUGUGUGGGAUAAGGAAUUCAAUUUUCCUCUUCCAUUCCCCAAAAGAAAAAUUUUGAGGUGUGUGAGCUCCACCUCAUCUUUGAGGUAGAGCUCACACAGAGCCUCAUCUCUCCAGAGAGAAACUUCAGCAGCUUUUGGCCACAUCUUAAGGUGAGGUCCAGGAUGGGGACAUGGCUGCCUUGCACAUAGGUCAUCCUCACUGGUUGUAUCUGCAAAAUGACAGCUUGGCAGUUAUACUGUUUCAGAAGGAAGUCAUGUUGGUUUGGAAUGACAUGAGGGUGAGUACAUGACAGAAUUUUCGUCUUAAUUUUCAUACCUUUAGCUACAGAGAGAAAUGCGUCCUGAUAACCAGAACAACUAUAAUAACUGUUGACUUCUAGAUAUUCUGUGAUAAUGAAAUAACUCACUUUUUCGAUUUCCCCUUUAAGACUCAAAUAGUCUCCCCUGGUGAAUAGGUCGUCUUCUUCACCCGUGACCAUCACAGAUGGUGGAUAAAUUGCCUCCCUUGCAACCUUUUCCGCCAUUUCGUCCAGGUUAAGUGGUGCUGUCCGAAAUUUAUUUGAUGUCCGGCCAAAAUAAACAUUUUUGCGGCCAUAGCGUGUGCCUAAUGUUACAUUUUUAAGGAUGUAUGUGCAUCCUUCAACCAAUUCUGGCUCUUCGCCAUUUUUUGAUACUAGGUAUGAAUUUGUGCCAUCACUUACGGCACUCUGACUUUUUAUUUGAUAGUUUUCAACUUUAAUAUCUCCGUUGCUGUUUGUGAAGUUUACAGCCUUUCUGGUAGUCCUAUUGGCCACGCAUUUGCACAGGAUUGGGGCCGGGCGGCUAUAUGGGCUUUGUGUUGCCAUCCUGAGGUGCCGUCUCUGGUUGACUUGGGUCGGAGCUGUGGGUGGAGUCCUGCGCACUGAAGUGGACGUGGCUGUGCGCAGCUUUUUAACAGACUGGCUGCGCGCAUUUCCCGCGCGCGCGCUCUCUCUCUCUCUCUCUCUCUCUCUCUCUCUCUCUCUCAUUUUUUGUAAUAUUUUUAACUUGUAAUUAAUUUAAUUUAUUGAAAUGAAUGUUUUUAAUUUGUAAUGAAUUGUAUUUAUUAAUGUUUUUUUUUUUACUUUUAAUGAAUUGUAUUUAUUAUAACAAAUGGUUUUUAACUUGUAAUGAAUUUUAUUUAUUGUAAUGAGUUUUUUUAACUUGAAAUGAGUUAUUUAUUGUAAUGAAUAUUUUUAAACUUGUAAUGAAUUGUAUUUAUUAUAACAAAUGGUUUUUAACUUGUAAUGAAUUUUAUUUAUUGUAAUGAGUUUUUUUAACUUGAAAUGAGUUAUUUAUUGUAAUGAAUAUUUUUAAACUUGUAAUGAAUUGUAUUUAUUAUAUAUUUUUUAACUUAAGUAUUAUAACGAAUGGUUUUUAACUUGUAAUGACUUAUUUAUUGUAGUAUUUUAACUUGUAAUGAAUUUACAGAUGAACUAUAUGUAGGCGACGAAGUGAUUCUGGGAAAGGGGAAAUUUCACUCCUCUACAUACACAUCUGUGAAGAUCCCUGAGGGCCAGGUUGAGGAUAUAGAGGUGGACAUUAUCGGGGUCUCCGAGAUUAAUGACACCUGCCACUUCCUCAGCAGCGACUCAGUUGUGUACAUUGUUCCUGAGGCAAUCUUCUCUGGAAAUCCAGAUGUGCUCAUUGACAAGCUGCCAAUGAAACUUCAGUUAAAACACAUUAACCGCAGGGUUAUUGAAAUAAGAUCAGAAAAAAGCAUAUAGAUUAGUCAUCCCUUUUUCUUUGUUUUUCCCCCCACUUUCAUAUUUGAUGUUAAUCUCAGCCAUUUGUUUUAUUUGUUUAGUGUGUAUAUAGUUGUAUAGUUGUAUAUAGUUCUUUCCAAACAAUAAGACCUCGUCAAUAUAUAGGUUAGUUAGCUCACCUUUUUCUUUUCUUUUUUUCUUUUCUCGUUUUUAAUAUUUGAUAUUUAGAUUUAGAUUGUUCUUGUUUAGUUUGUAUAUAGUAUAUUGUAUAUUGGAAAGUACAUUUUUCAAAGAUUUUAUUUAUUAUUUUGUGAGCAUUAUUUAGUUUAUCACAUUAAAAAUUGUGGGAAAAGAUUGUGGAAGGGUAAAGAGACCCAAUGAGUAAUAUUUCCCAGUUGUAAAAUUGUCUUGUUUUAUUCGUCUUAUAUAUUAUUUUAAACAUUGCCCAUGAAAAAUCUGGGAAUGUUUAUAUCCACUGUAGUCCUCAAUGGUACGGCAUGGUUAUCCACCACUAAGUCCAUGUUUUAUAUGUCCUUCUGAGUGCGUUUAUCACAACCCUGGUACAUACAGACGUGGACAAAAUUGUUGGUACCCUUGAUAAAUACAAACAAAAAACCUGUAAAAAAAAAUCUCCAUUGUUAAUCUUUUAGGACUUUAUUUAAAAAAAAAAAAAAAAAGUCAAAUUCUAACCUUUCAUUGAAGUGUAAGAAUUUAAAAUGAAUCUUAUUAUGAAAUAAAUAUUUUUCUCUGAUACACGUUGGCCACAAUUAUUGCUACCCUUUUAUUCAAUACUUUUUGCAACCCCAAGUCCUCCCCAAGAUAACAGCUCUGAGUCGUCUUCUAUAAUGCCUGAUGAGUUUGGAGAACACCUGACAAGAGAUCAGAGACCACUCCUUCAUACAGAAUCUCUUAAUUUUGUCACAAAAUAGAUGUUUAAAAAAAAGAAAAAAAAAAGAAAGAAAUAUUAAAAAUAUACAAAGAUUUAAAAAUAACUACAUUAAUUAUCUAAGUUAAUUUCACUAAAGAAAAAAAAAAAGUUGAUAAAUCAUGAAAAUAUAUAUAUAUAUAUAUAUUUUACUUUCAGGUCAAAUUGGACACAUUCAUAUAGUUUGAGCUUAAUGAUACAGUAUUUUGUUCUGUUUAUAGCAAAAAAUUUUAAAAUGUAAAAGAACAACUAUAAAAAGAGAUAAAAAGAGAGAGGCUACUGGCGGAUAGUGUUGUUGUUGAUGAAUGAUGUUUCAUGCUUAGUUCUGGGCUUCUUUUUAAAAACAUUUGAAACCAUGAAAGCCUGCUUUGUUUUUGGUCUCAAAACCCACUAGCUUUUGCAUAUCCAAAAGCUAUUUUUAAGUUUUUUUUUUCUCUUUAUGUAGCCUAAUUUGAGUGCUUAAGUCCAUUAAUGAGAGUGGAAUGCUUAAUCUAAAUUUGUAUAUCAAAAUGAACAGUUUAAAUCGUUCUGUUUACUUAAUUCGCUCACCCCAUUAAAAGUACAUAAAAAAAAAAAAAAAAUCAUUUUAUUGAACACUGAAAAACGUGAAAAUGCAUUCAGUAGAAUACAUUUGGAAUAGACAAUAAUUUCUCAUUCUUUUAUUUUAAUCUUCAAUGAAAGUUAAACAAAUAGGCUACUGUACCCAUCUCUGAAUAUUUAAAUAUUAUAUCUAAAUGGUCUACUUAACUAAUGAAAAUCAGAAACAUGACAGUUAAAUACAAUAAUAAUACAGCAUGUUUUAUUAUCCGAAGACCAGGGGACAACAUUCCCAGAUAGCAGACCAACCCUGAAUCAACGUUAAUGCAUUAACCAAAUUAUCAUUGAAUCAACGUUGAUCGACGUUGAAUUUUAAAUUGAUUUUUCAUCAGGUUUGCACCCUGAAAUAAUGUUAUUUCAAUGAUGAAAAAUAGAUCAAGAUGGUUGUAAAAUCAAUGUUUUUUCAACCUUAAUUAAAUCACCUAUUUAACAUUGAAUUAACGUGGAAACAAUAUCAAAUCAAUCUUGGUUUAUGUACAUGCAACCCACACCUGAGGUGUAAAUUUUAUGUUGACUCUACAACUGGACCAAUGCGCUCAGAAGACUAGGUUUGUCCACUGAGAGAGAUGGUGCAACAAGAGUGAACAAAUUCAGACGUUCAAGGUUUUCGGUAAGAGCAAGUUUUGACUGUAUUGAACACAAUAAUUGAUUUCAUUUAAAUGCAGUGACAUAGGAAUACUCACGUUACACUAAUUUGUACCCUUUCCUCCUCCUUCCCAGGAAUUUGAUAGUUGUUUCACUUAUUACAAUUAAUUUUCAGCUCAGAAUUCAAUUAGGGGAAACGUAAUUUGUUUGUGUAUAAAUUGAGACUAAAAAUAAACUUUCACUGCCCUUUC